rnacentral:rRNA from 1 species
GGGUUGUGAGGUUAAGCGACUAAGCGUACACGGUGGAUGCCCUGGCAGUCAGAGGCGAUGAAGGGCGUGCUAAUCUGCGAUAAGCGCCGGUAAGGUGAUAUGAACCGUUAUAACCGGCGAUACCCGAAUGGGGAAACCCAGUGUGAUUCGUCACACUAUCAUUAACUGAAUCCAUAGGUUAAUGAGGCGAACCGGGGGAACUGAAACAUCUAAGUACCCCGAGGAAAAGAAAUCAACCGAGAUUCCCCCAGUAGCGGCGAGCGAACGGGGAGGAGCCCAGAGCCUGAAUCAGCAUGUGUGUUAGUGGAAGCGUCUGGAAAGGCGCGCGAUACAGGGUGACAGCCCCGUACACAAAAGCGCAUGUGCUGUGAGCUCGAUGAGUAGGGCGGGACACGUGGUAUCCUGUCUGAAUAUGGGGGGACCAUCCUCCAAGGCUAAAUACUCCUGACUGACCGAUAGUGAACCAGUACCGUGAGGGAAAGGCGAAAAGAACCCCGGCGAGGGGAGUGAAAAAGAACCUGAAACCGUGUACGUACAAGCAGUGGGAGCACAGGUUUACCUGUGUGACUGCGUACCUUUUGUAUAAUGGGUCAGCGACUUAUAUUCUGUAGCAAGGUUAACCGUAUAGGGGAGCCGUAGGGAAACCGAGUCUUAACCGGGCGUUAAGUUGCAGGGUAUAGACCCGAAACCCGGUGAUCUAGCCAUGGGCAGGUUGAAGGUUGGGUAACACUAACUGGAGGACCGAACCGACUAAUGUUGAAAAAUUAGCGGAUGACCUGUGGCUGGGGGUGAAAGGCCAAUCAAACCGGGAGAUAGCUGGUUCUCCCCGAAAGCUAUUUAGGUAGCGCCUCGUGAAUUCAUCUCCGGGGGUAGAGCACUGUUUCGGCUAGGGGGCCAUCCCGGCUUACCAACCCGAUGCAAACUGCGAAUACCGGAGAAUGUUAUCACGGGAGACACACGGCGGGUGCUAACGUCCGUCGUGAAGAGGGAAACAACCCAGACCGCCAGCUAAGGUCCCAAAGUCAUGGUUAAGUGGGAAACGAUGUGGGAAGGCCCAGACAGCCAGGAUGUUGGCUUAGAAGCAGCCAUCAUUUAAAGAAAGCGUAAUAGCUCACUGGUCGAGUCGGCCUGCGCGGAAGAUGUAACGGGGCUAAACCAUGCACCGAAGCUGCGGCAGCGACGCUUAUGCGUUGUUGGGUAGGGGAGCGUUCUGUAAGCCUGUGAAGGUGUGUCGUGAGGCAUGCUGGAGGUAUCAGAAGUGCGAAUGCUGACAUAAGUAACGAUAAAGCGGGUGAAAAGCCCGCUCGCCGGAAGACCAAGGGUUCCUGUCCAACGUUAAUCGGGGCAGGGUGAGUCGACCCCUAAGGCGAGGCCGAAAGGCGUAGUCGAUGGGAAACGGGUUAAUAUUCCCGUACUUGGUGUUACUGCGAAGGGGGGACGGAGAAGGCUAUGUUGGCCGGGCGACGGUUGUCCCGGUUUAAGCGUGUAGGUGUGUGUUCCAGGUAAAUCCGGUUCACUUUAACACUGAGGCGUGAUGACGAGGCACUACGGUGCUGAAGCAACAAAUGCCCUGCUUCCAGGAAAAGCCUCUAAGCAUCAGGUAACAUCAAAUCGUACCCCAAACCGACACAGGUGGUCAGGUAGAGAAUACCAAGGCGCUUGAGAGAACUCGGGUGAAGGAACUAGGCAAAAUGGUGCCGUAACUUCGGGAGAAGGCACGCUGACACGUAGGUGAAGUGAUUUACUCACGGAGCUGAAGUCAGUCGAAGAUACCAGCUGGCUGCAACUGUUUAUUAAAAACACAGCACUGUGCAAACACGAAAGUGGACGUAUACGGUGUGACGCCUGCCCGGUGCCGGAAGGUUAAUUGAUGGGGUCAGCGCAAGCGAAGCUCCUGAUCGAAGCCCCGGUAAACGGCGGCCGUAACUAUAACGGUCCUAAGGUAGCGAAAUUCCUUGUCGGGUAAGUUCCGACCUGCACGAAUGGCGUAAUGAUGGCCAGGCUGUCUCCACCCGAGACUCAGUGAAAUUGAACUCGCUGUGAAGAUGCAGUGUACCCGCGGCAAGACGGAAAGACCCCGUGAACCUUUACUAUAGCUUGACACUGAACAUUGAGCCUUGAUGUGUAGGAUAGGUGGGAGGCUUUGAAGUGUGGACGCCAGUCUGCAUGGAGCCGACCUUGAAAUACCACCCUUUAAUGUUUGAUGUUCUAACGUGGACCCGUGAUCCGGGUUGCGGACAGUGUCUGGUGGGUAGUUUGACUGGGGCGGUCUCCUCCUAAAGAGUAACGGAGGAGCACGAAGGUUGGCUAAUCCUGGUCGGACAUCAGGAGGUUAGUGCAAUGGCAUAAGCCAGCUUGACUGCGAGCGUGACGGCGCGAGCAGGUGCGAAAGCAGGUCAUAGUGAUCCGGUGGUUCUGAAUGGAAGGGCCAUCGCUCAACGGAUAAAAGGUACUCCGGGGAUAACAGGCUGAUACCGCCCAAGAGUUCAUAUCGACGGCGGUGUUUGGCACCUCGAUGUCGGCUCAUCACAUCCUGGGGCUGAAGUAGGUCCCAAGGGUAUGGCUGUUCGCCAUUUAAAGUGGUACGCGAGCUGGGUUUAGAACGUCGUGAGACAGUUCGGUCCCUAUCUGCCGUGGGCGCUGGAGAACUGAGGGGGGCUGCUCCUAGUACGAGAGGACCGGAGUGGACGCAUCACUGGUGUUCGGGUUGUCAUGCCAAUGGCACUGCCCGGUAGCUAAAUGCGGAAGAGAUAAGUGCUGAAAGCAUCUAAGCACGAAACUUGCCCCGAGAUGAGUUCUCCCUGAGACUUAGAGUCUCCUGAAGGAACGUUGAAGACGACGACGUUGAUAGGCCGGGUGUGUAAGCGCAGCGAUGCGUUGAGCUAACCGGUACUAAUGAACCGUGAGGCUUAACCUUACAACGCCGAAG